rnacentral:rRNA from 1 species
AAACUUUCAACACUGGAUCUCUUGGUUCCGGCAUCCAUGAAGAACGCAUCGAAAUGCGAUCCCUAGUGUGAAUUGCACAAUUCCGUGAAUCAUCGAGUCUUUGAACGCACAUUGCGCCCCCUGGUAUUCCGGGGGGCAUGCCUGUCCGAGCGUCAUUG